rnacentral:rRNA from 1 species
GUAUUCGUCAAUGGUGGAAACCCUGAACGAGCAAUGCCGCGUGAGUGAUGACGGUCCUCUGGAUUGUAAAACUCUGUUGUUUAGGAAAAAUUGUAUAAACAGGAAGUGGUUAAUGCUUGAUGGUACUAUUCAAGAAAGCCACGGCUAACUACGUGCCAGCAGCCGCGGUAAUACGUAGGUGGCGAGCGUUACCCGGAUUUAUUGGGCGUAAAGCGUCCGCAGACGGCUUGUUAAGACUAGAAUCAAAGCCCGGAGCUUAACUUCGGUUCGUUCUAGAAACUGGCAGGCUUGAGUAUAGUAGAGGCAAGUGGAAUUUCUAGUGUAGCGGUAGAAUGCGUAGAUAUUAGAAGGAACACCAGUGGCGAAGGCGACUUGCUGGGCUAUUACUGACGUUCAUGGACGAAAGCGUGGGGAGCAAAUAGG